AAGUCGUAACAAGGUUUCCGUAGGUGAACCUGCGGAAGGAUCAUUAAAAAAAAUGAGGUAUUUUAUACCUCUUGUAUUUAAAACCCAACUCAAAAAAUAUAAUUUUUUUUUAAAAAAAAAAAACUUUCAACAAUGGAUCUCUUGGCUCUC
rnacentral:misc_RNA from 1 species